GGGGCCGCUUUUUGGCAAAGCGCUUGAAUGGCAUUCAAGAGGUCAGGAGUUCAAUUCUCCUCAGCUCCACCA
rnacentral:tRNA from 1 species